rnacentral:rRNA from 1 species
GUGGGGAAUCUUCCGCAAUGGACGAAAGUCUGACGGAGCGACGCCGCGUGAGUGAAGAAGGCCUUCGGGUCGUAAAGCUCUGUCAUCAGGGACGAACGGCCGGUGGAGUGGAAAGCCACCGGAUUGACGGUACCUGAGAAGGAAGCCACGGCUAACUACGUGCCAGCAGCCGCGGUAAUACGUAGGUGGCAAGCGUUGUCCGGAAUUAUUGGGCGUAAAGCGCGCGCAGGUGGGAUCUUAAGUCCAUUUUGAAAGUUCGGAGCUCAAAUACGUGAGGGGAUGGAAACUGGGAUUCUUGAGUACCGGAGAGGAAAGCGGAAUUCCCCGUGUAGCGGUGAAAUGCGUAGAUAUGGGGAGGAACACCAGUGGCGAAGGCGGCUUUCUGGACGGUGUCUGACACUGAGGCGCGAAAGCUAGGGGAGCGAACGGGAUUAGAAACCCUUGUAGUCC